AUUGAACGCUGGCGGCAUGCCUUACACAUGCAAGUCGAACGGUAGCGGGCCUUCGGGUGCCGACGAGUGGCGAACGGGUGAGUAAUGUAUCGGAACGUACCUUUCAGUGGGGGAUAACGUAGCGAAAGUUACGCUAAUACCGCAUAUUCUGUGCGCAGGAAAGCAGGGGAUCGCAAGACCUUGCGCUGAUUGAGCGGCCGAUAUCAGAUUAGCUAGUUGGUGAGGUAAAGGCCCACCAAGGCGACGAUCUGUAGCGGGUCUGAGAGGAUGAUCCGCCACACUGGAACUGAGACACGGUCCAGACUCCUACGGGAGGCAGCAGUGGGGAAUUUUGGACAAUGGGGGCAACCCUGAUCCAGCCAUGCCGCGUGAGUGAAGAAGGCCUUCGGGUUGUAAAGCUCUUUCGGCCGGGAAGAAAUCGUAUCAGCUAAUACCUGGUGCGGAUGACGGUACCGGCAUAAGAAGCACCGGCUAACUACGUGCCAGCAGCCGCCGCCGUAA
rnacentral:rRNA from 1 species